AUCUUUAGUAAUUGCGAAUGAACAAGGAUAUGCUUAGCUUGACAAAUGGAGCUAUUGGCUUUGAAUUGUAUUGUGGAAAUGUAUUACCAACAGAGGUGCAGGUGCCAGCCUAUUGAAAUAAAGCGUCAAUGAGGGUGAGAAUCCUGUUUGUCAUGUGCAGCCCUUUGUGCACGGUGUAUAUUUGCUGAGUCACACUCCUUGGCAUUGGAAUGCAAAGUGGGUGGUAAGUUUCAUGUAAAGGUAAACAUGCAAUUGAGACUGAUAGCACACAAGUACCAUGAGGGAAAUAUGAAAAGGACUUUGAAAAGAGAAUUAAAUGAGUUUGUAUUUGCUGAACACAAAGUAAACAGACUUGAUUUGCUUGGUGGGAGUGUUGCACUUGCUUGACAAGAGCUUUGGGCUGUGGGUGUAAUGAUUCUUUCUUUGCAUGCCAGUUUCUAUUUGUACAUCUGAUUACCUUUGCACAUGAAUGAUAAGUCUCCUGUGGGGGGUGGAUUGCAUGUGCAUGUAAUGAUUUGUGUUUUGAUAAAUGUGUCUGGUGUAUGUGUGUGUUCCUGUGCUUGGGGAUGCUUCCUUCCUUGGACUUACAAGCCCUGACACACACAUGCUGGCAAAAUGCUUCUGCUUGACCCGUCUUGAAACACGGACCAAGGAGUCUAACAGAUGUGCAAAGUUUGAAGGUGGUAUACCUUUGUGUGCAAUGAAAGUGUCAGCUGGGAUAUGUGCACCAGCACCCAAUUAAUUAGCGGACAGAGGUUUGAGUUGGAGCAUAUCUAUUAGGACCCGAAAGAUGGUGAACUAUGCCUGAACAGAAUGAAUUCAGAGGAAACUCUGAUGGAGGUUCGUAUCGAUACUGACGUGCAAAUCGUUCGUCAUAUUUGGGUAUAGGGGCGAAAGACUAAUCGAACCAUCUAGUAGCUGGUUCCCUCCGAAGUUUCCCUCAGGAUAGCUGGAGUUGCUCAGUUUUAUCAGGUAAAGCGAAUGAUUAGAGGAAUUGGGGACAGGUUUGUCUUUGACCUAUUCUCAAACUUUAAAUGGGUAAUAUGUAGUGGUUGCUGUAUGGAACUUCUAAGAUAAAUGGCAAUAUUGGGUGGGCCAUUUUUGGUAAGCAGAACUGGCGAUGAGGGA
rnacentral:rRNA from 1 species